UGGGGAAUCUUGGACAAUGGGGGCAACCCUGAUCCAGCGACGCCGCGUGGGUGGUAAGGCCUUCGGGUUGUAAAGCCCUUUCAGCGGGGAAGAUGAUGACAUUACCCGCAGAAGAAGCGCCGGCUAACUCCGUGCCAGCAGCCGCGGUAAGACGGAGGGCGCUAGCGUUGUUCGGAAUCACUGGGCGUAAAGGGCGCGUAGGCGGCUUGGUUAGUCAGAUGUGAAAGCCCAGAGCUCAACUCUGGAACUGCAUUUGAUACUCCCAAGCUUGAGGUCGAAAGAGGAGAGUGGAAUACCCAGUGUAGAGGUGAAAUUCGUAGAUAUUGGGUGGAACACCAGUGGCGAAAGCGGCUCUCUGGUUCGAUUCUGACGCUGAGGCGCGAAAGCGUGGGGAGCAAACAGGAUUAGAUACCCGCGUAGUCC
rnacentral:rRNA from 1 species